CCUCCCCCAACAACUGGGAAUUUCUGGCUGGAUGUAAUUGUUUUUGGUAGACAGGCGAGCAAAGGGGCCGGGGGAGAUUGUUCUUGGCGACGACGCAGCUCUGCAGGAGUGAGCCUCCCCGUAUGAAACAACAUGACAAAACAAUGCAAUUACUGUGAAAGGCGCCUCUCAAUGGCCAGCAGGACUUCAUUUCCAACUGAAGAGAGCCGUUGCAUUUAAAAGAAGACGGGGGUUACUGGGAGCAGUGGACGGGAAAAGGUACCAUGCUCUGGAGCAGGAGAAACCUUCUUCCUGGCAAAUCUUUAUAACAUCCUUCGAGGCCCACGCUGAAUAGCUGAACACCUAUGACACUCAUCCCUCUAUUGUGAUGGCGAAACUGCUUCUCCUGAUUGAUUGAUUGAUUGGUUGGUUGGUUGAUUAAUUUAUUGAAUUUGUCUCACAGGGCCCAUUGGAGGCUGGACACCCUCCAACCCUGCACUGGAGGGUAAUAUUUGGCACUGUCAUGCACGGUGCCUAUAGAGGACAAAUCCUGGAAUUACACCUUGACUUCCUGUACAGUCGCCAGGACGCAGUGGGUGAGAAACAGCAUCUGGACACCACAGCUGAUGUGGGGUUUCCCCCCCCCCCCCUUGACAGUACAAGGUCACUCUAUCAGCGUCCCUGACGAGUCAUGAGUCACUGGACUGUACCGGGUCUGGGCUCAUUCCAUUACAUAGGGCCGAAUGUUCAACCCUCGUCUUUUGCAACUGUCCUACAUCCACAGUCGUUUCCUAAAGGAAACGGUUUAAAGUGUCGAUGUUCCUUGGCACCUUGAGUCCCUGAGAUUAUUUGUCCAGUUAGCUCAUUCAUGUCAACAGGCGUCUGUGUAUCCUGUCGUGUCCGUGGAACAUCCUCGUGAGCAGCCAGCGCUGUUUACCAAGAAUCAGUUCAAUGACAUUCGCUCAGUUUCUCAUCAUUUUGUGGUUUUAUUUCCUCUUUCUUGUCAAGGGGAUUUUUCUAACUGUAACUGUCUACUGCGGCAAGAUUAAUGAAUCUUUUUAUUUAAGAGGACGGAGACAUGUUUAUUAAAGGUGAAUGGAGUCGUGUCCAUUGUCUUUGAGAUU